AUGGCGGCACAAAUCACAGCUCCGAUUCUACCCCUGCUUCCUCCCCCGUGCCGUCGCCCGCUCCCGAGCCUUGGGGAGCUAAAGCCGAUGGGGCCUUCUCGCACCAGAUCCCGUCGGCUCGUGGUCGCCUGCGCAGCCUCCGGCGGCGGUGGGCCGCCGGCGGAGAAGCCGCCCCAGGGACCCUCCCUGCCGCCGCUGUCGGAAAUACGUUGGGGGCAGCUGCUGGCGCCGUCCCCGGACAACGCUGCGGCCGUGGCGCUGACGGCCGCGCUGGUAUGGGCCGGCGCAACUCUGCUGCUGCAGCUGGUACUCAUCUCCGCCUCCAUCUUCGCCGCCGCCCUCAAGUACUCCUUCGUCGCCGCGCUCCUACUCUUCGUCCUCAUCGCGCUCCUGUGA
rnacentral:rRNA from 1 species